UCCUCCCUUGCCUUUUUUCCUCUAAGGUGGGAAUAAGAGAGUGGGGAGGAGAAAAGGAGGAAAAAUGGAAAGAGAAAGAAAAGACAGGUGUGUAUCUGUGACCUCUAGCCAACUGACCCAAGGCUACAAGUAUAUGGCUAAUAAUGGUGGCACAAGGACCAGACAUCCAGGUGCGUUCCCUAAAACUACUCUUUCAUUUUUUCCUCAUCAUUCAGCUAAAAUCUCUUUUUAGAAAAUUACCUGUUUCAUCAUCACCACCACAAAACCCUUCAUCUGCCUCUCUUCCCCUUUAACCAGUUCCUUUUUCCUUGCUUUAGAGUCAAGCUCUGAAUAAGCUGGAAAUGUUUGGUGCAGACAAGUCAGCAACAAUUCUUUCUUGAGCAUCUACUGCAAGCAGAUAAUUGUGCUCACUUCUGAGGGUAGGAUGGGGUAUAAACCUAGGUAUGAAGUAGUCCUAAGGCAAGACUGUAAAAGGUACAGAGCGAUACUAAGGGAAGACUGUACUAGGUACAAAGUGGUACUAAGGGAAGACUGUACUAGGUACAAAGUGGCACUAAGGGAAGACUGUACUAGGUACAAAGUGGCACUAAGGGAAGACUGUACUAGGUACAAAGUGGUACCAAGGGAAGAUUAUUUAUUGGCACAUG
rnacentral:lncRNA from 1 species